AUUUAGGAUCAACAUUUGCAACUAUUGAAUCUGAACAAUAAAAAGGAAAAAAAUGGGAUUCGAAAGAAAAAUGGUAUAGAAACUCGUCAGGAUCAGAUAAAGAGGCAGAGUAUAAGCCCAGCAUCAGGUUUAUUGACUAUUCUAGUCUUUUUAGUAGUUAAAGCUAUUGGAUGGGGAGUUUGGGCAACUUUAGCUUUUGUUUCAAAUCCUGGAUAAUAUGCAAAAACAUGCAAAGUGGCUGGGGAGGAAAACUCAAUCUUCAAACAAAUUAUUUUUAAUUUGGUUUCUGGUAAAUGUAGAGAAAUAAAUGUUUUUUAAUUUUC